AAUAAGCUAGGUUAUUAUUUGACUGUCUGUUUUCAAAAUAGGAGGGGGCUUGGUGGUCGCUUAUUG
rnacentral:tRNA from 1 species